CUCCGGGAAACCGGGGCUAAUACCGGAUAUGAGCCGCCUUCGCAUGGGGGUGGUUGGAAAGUUUUUCGGUCAGGGAUGGGCUCGCGGCCUAUCAGCUUGUUGGUGGGGUGAUGGCCUACCAAGGCGACGACGGGUAGCCGGCCUGAGAGGGCGACCGGCCACACUGGGACUGAGACACGGCCCAGACUCCUACGGGAGGCAGCAGUGGGGAAUAUUGCACAAUGGGCGAAAGCCUGAUGCAGCGACGCCGCGUGAGGGAUGAAGGCCUUCGGGUUGUAAACCUCUUUCAGCAGGGAAGAAGCGCAAGUGACGGUACCUGCAGAAGAAGCGCCGGCUAACUACGUGCCAGCAGCCGCGGUAAUACGUAGGGCGCAAGCGUUGUCCGGAAUUAUUGGGCGUAAAGAGCU
rnacentral:rRNA from 1 species